AGGUCUGCAGCAGGCGCGAAACUUACACAAUGCUAGAUUACAAUUAGCGAUGUAGUGAAGAAAAAUAACGAUGUACUUCCAUUUAAACAUGGUAGUACAAUUGGAAUGAGACGACUAUAAAUCAGUUAGUCGAGUAACAAAUGGAGGGCAAGUCUGGUGCCAGCAGCCGCGGUAAUUCCAGCUCCAUUAGCAUACAUUAAAGUUGUUGCGGUUAAAAAGCUCGUAGUUGAAUUUUAGGCGGGCUCUAUUGGGAUGCAAUCGUUAAGGUUCUAUGGUCAAAGGUCCGCCCUUUCUAUUUGAACUGGUUGUCACUUCCCUAUAGGAACCCGCUGUUUCGUCACUUAAUCGAGUGCGAAGCGGGCUGGUACUUAGGUUCUAGCACUUCGGUGCGCCAAGUUUCAGCAAGUUUACCUUGAGAAAAUUAGAGUGCUCACAGCAGGCAGUUGGGGUGUAAAAGCUCCUUUAUGCUUGAAUAAUGUUGCAUGGAAUAAUAGAAUACGGCCUCGGUUCUAUUCUGUUGGUCUUAUAGAACAACAAACAAGUUGAUUAAAGCGACAAAAGCCUAUUUUGAGUGUGACUUCAGAAUGACUCCGUUCUUACGUAGGAUCGAGUUGUGUUACCUAGGGGUAAAACCUUAGAGUCGCGCUCCCCAUCGGGGGUCGGAUUGAUUUCUGUUGUCAUAAAAAGCACUCUUGAUAUGGUAAGCUUUCUAAUCAACUGAGGCAAUGGUUAAAAGAAAUAGUCGCGGCGGCAUCAGUACUGCAUCGUGAGAG
rnacentral:rRNA from 1 species